rnacentral:tRNA from 1 species
AGAAAAAUAAGCUAAAUUUAAGCUUUUGGAUUCAUACUUCAAAUAUAGAUUAAAAUCUUUUUUCUAAUUAACUU